GAUGAAGAACGUAGCGAAAUGCGAUACUUGGUGUGAAUUGCAGAAUCCCGUGAACCAUCGAGUCUUUGAACGCAAGUUGCGCCCGAAGCCAUUAGGCCGAGGGCACGCCUGCCUGGGCGUCACACGUCGUUGCCCCCCCAUCUACUCCUUCGGGAUUGCGGGGGGCGGAUGAUGGCCUCCCGUGCGCCUCGCCGCGCGGUUGGCAUAAAUGCCAAGUCCUUGGCGACGCACGCCACGACAAUCGGUGGUUGCGAAACCUCGGUUGCCCGUCGUGUGCGGUCGUCGCGCAUCGAGGGCUCGAAAAAAUUGCCGGGUUCCGGCUCGGCUUUCAACGCGACCCCAGGUCAGGCGGGGUUACUCGCUGAAUUUAAGCAUAUCAAUAAGCGGAGGA
rnacentral:misc_RNA from 1 species